GCAGAAUAUUUAUUGACAUAGGAAAACUAUUCACCAUACAUUUAAAAUUGGAAUAAAUAGCUUAACAAAUGGUAUAUUAUUUCACAUACAUAAAAUAUCUACACACGUGGUAUGUUGGUAAAUGUUUAACCAAUGGCUUACCCGGAGAGAAAAAAAUUGCAUUUGUAAAUAUUCUUACCAUGGACAAUUUCAAGCUACUAAUGUAAAGUCUGGGAAGCUACUAGAUGUGGAAAGAGAUACACAUAAUUUGUUCUGGCAAGCCAUUGUGAGCUGGCCCCAGCACCCACAGAUACACACUAAAUGAAAGUGCAAGUCCUCUCUGAAUGGUGGUAUAAUAGCUCACUUAGUUUGAAUUAUCUAAAAAGUAAUUGUUAAGAUUAGUUUAAACGUACAAGAAGUUCAUGGGGGGAGGUCUGUGAAGGAUGAAAGGGGAGAUAGCUGGAGAAGUCAAGAAGAGUCUUCAAGACCAUGAGGCAGUCUACGCCUGUGAAAGAAGAGAAGGAAGAAAGAAUCAGAAAGAAGCUGUUGAAACAGUCCAUCUUACAACCCUUCUCUGAUGCAACUAGAAGACAGCUGUUCGCAAACCAGGAAUAGGGCCCUCAUCAGACGCUGGAUCUGCGGGUACAUUACAAUUGGACUUCUCAGCUUGGAAAGGGAUCAUGCUGUCAGGCUUGGAAGAAAUACCUCCUUUUCUCCAGUCUUUCCUUCAGUUCUGCUGGAAUUGGCAUUUUAAUAUCUUUAAUUUCAUUUGAUUUAUAGUAUUUAAUUUGCCUUUGCUAGAUUUGUAAAAUAUGUUAUGAUUUUCUACUUAAUUACUUCUUAUUAAUCAAAGUAUAUAUUUCUUUCAGCCUAUGCUCAUUGUCCAGGAAGAAGGAAAUCACUAAUACUGUAUUCUACAACUAUAUUAUUUCAGAGUUUUCAAUCCUUUUCUAUGGCUACAUAUAAGAAAGCAUUUCAUUCUUUGUGGUCCCUUGAAUGGCAUUGAACUGGUCAAGUGAUUGUUUUUGAUAAGUUCUAUAGAUCUGUGCUUAGGCACUUAACAGGAUGCAAUCAGGGUACACUGAGAUUUGCUAUGUAAGAGCCUCUGUAAUUAAAAUGAUGUAUAGUUACAUCUCUAAAUAUAAUGGUUUCUACUGAUAAAACACUUUUCUAUAUAUUUCAAUAAAAUUGCAGAGCUUAUAAAAUUGAAUUAAUAUAAUGUGAUAGAAACACAGAUGUUAUUGAAAUAAAAUGAUUGUAUGUUUGUAUAUUCUUCUUUAUCUUUGUGAUUUACUCAUUUUAUUGGAUAGUUACAGUUGCUGCCUUUAAACAUGUCUGCCCUUAGGGCUCUGUGUACAAAAACACGAAUUGAGGAUAUUUUUAUAGUAUUAUUGGAUCAAUUUUAUAAAUAUAUGCUAAAUCUGGUUUAUGUGUAAGACUCAGUGUCAGGAAUAAGAAAGUUCCUCAAUUUAUUAAGCUGUGCUGCAACCCCACCUUAUUCUCUGGGGGUCUCUGUUACCUUAGCUGUAAGUGCUGCAUGCUGUAUACUGAAUCACGUUCCCUAAAAUUCAUAGAUUAAAGCCCUAACAACCAAUGUGAUAGUAUUUGGAAGUGGGAUGUUUGGGAGGUAACUAGGUUGAGAUGAGGUUAGGAAGUUCCGGUCCCCUUAAUGGGAUGAGUGUUCUUACAAGAGAGGAAGAAAGGCUAAGAGACUGGAGCACUCUUUCUCCCGUUACCAUGUCAGGACAUGGUGAGAGAGCAGUCAUCUCCAAACUAGGAAGAGGCUCCUCAUUAGGCACUGAACUAGCCAGCACCUUGAUCUGGAACGUCCGGCCUUAAGGGCACUAAGAAAAUCAAAUUCUGUGGUUUAAGCCACCUAGUGUAUGAUAUUUUGCUACGGCAGUCUGAGCUUGGGCAAGACACUAUUGCUGCCCUGCCUCCACAGCAGACUUUUUGUGAGGAUUAAAUAAAUCACUUUGAAGAAUGAAUUGGUUUCAUUAGUUAUCUUUUUUUAUGCUUAAGUCUCUCAAAACUCCCUAUCAAAUAUUUAGUGUUAAAUAAAAUUGUAAAAUGUU
rnacentral:lncRNA from 1 species